GAUGAACGCUGGCGGCGUGCCUAACACAUGCAAGUUGAGCGGCAGCGAGGGGUGCUUGCACCCUGUCGGCGAGCGGCGGACGGCUGAGUAACGCGUGGGAACGUGCCCCAAAGUGAGGAAUAACUGCCCGAAAGGGUAGCUAAUACCGCAUAUUAUCUUCGGAUCAAAGGAUUUAUCCGCUUUGGGAGCGGCUCGCGUCGGAUUAGGUAGUUGGUGAGGUAAUGGCUCACCAAGCCGACGAUCCGUAGCUGGUCUGAGAGGAUGACCAGCCAGACUGGAACUGAGACACGGUCCAGACUCCUACGGGAGGCAGCAGUGAGGAAUCUUCCACAAUGGGCGAAAGCCUGAUGGAGCAACGCCGCGUGCAGGACGAAGGCCUUCGGGUUGUAAACUGCUUUUAUAAGUGAGGAAUAUGACGGUAACUUAUGAAUAAGGAUCGGCUAACUACGUG
rnacentral:rRNA from 1 species